rnacentral:lncRNA from 1 species
GGGCCUGUCCGACAGAGGCUGGCACCUGGGCACGGUCUGGUGGCUGGCAGGAGCCCUCUUACCCAGCCAGGGCAGGGGACAUCAUUUUCACUUGCUGGCUUUUGAGAAAGUGACCCUGUCCUCCCGUUCCUGGCUUGUACCCACCGGUGGAGAUGAUAGAGAACAGAGAAGAUAGAAAACACUGAUGAAGUCCGCUGCCGCAGCUGGCUGGGAGUGAACCUGGAUGCCCCGGAGGGACACCUGCCCCCAGGAAAGUAAGCACCUGUCGUGUGUAUCAGAAGACCCCCUACUGCCUCACACACAGUCACUGGCCUCUUCUUGACAACUUCCCCAGGUGACUCUGAGAACUCAAGGACCAUGUCCAGCUCAGCCCUGCCCUGGAUUCACAUUGACAGUCCCUGUCAGAGACCUGAACCCUUGGCCGUGUGAGUUGCAUCUCUCCUAAGACCUAACCACACUACAAGAGAUCAGAAGCAGCACAUCCCAGAGAUCCCAUAAUGAUGCCAUCCAGGCCUGCAAUACAGCCCACGCUUUGGUCACUGCCAUAUUGAUAGUACAUUCCAGCUCCUCGAGGUCGGAAACUGGCGUGUGUUCUGGGAGCCGGGAGCGGCUGGUUAACUCUGCUACCCCUUAAAAAAGCCGAGGCGGGGGUUCCAAGUAAAGUCGGGAAAGGUGUGGG